AGAGAGACCCUGAGCACCCUCUAUGUAACCCCCCUGUGUUCAUCACCACUACAGGUGUAUCUGUCAUGUUGUUUUGUCUGUCCUCUUUCUCCUGAUUUCACUCGUUCCCUCCAUUCCCCUCCUCUCUCUGCAGUCUCGGGUUCCCCUCCUCUCUCUGCAGUCUCGGGUUCCCCUCCUCUCUCUGCAGUCUCGGGUUCCCCUCCUCUCUCUGCAGUCUCGGGUUCCCCUCCUCCGUCAGAUGGCGUUCUGCCUGGCCGAGCUUCACUGUUGGUCCUCCAGCAGUUCACUACAAGUCAGAGAUACAGAUAUUGGCACCCAUCAGUACUAUGACAAAGGAGAGCCAGCCGCCCCAUCAGAGCACCACUACUACACUGACAAACAGGAUUUCUCUGAAUG